AUGGCGCCCUCCAGCCUGCUGUGGGUCCUGGUGGCCUUCACCUGCUCUGGAUCCAGUGUGGCCCAGAAAGUGACCCAAAACCAGUCAGCUAUAACCACACAAGAGUGGUCAACAGUCACCCUCAACUGUCAGUAUGAAACAAGUUCGAUUAACUACUAUCUUUAUUGGUACAAGCAGCUUCCUGAUGGAAAGAUCAAUUACCUUAUUCAUCAGUCUUCUUCUUCUACCAAUAAUGCAGAAAAGGGUCCCUGUGUUAUAAACUUCCAGAAAGCAGAGAAAGCCAUCUCCCUCACCAUUAAAUCCUUACAACUGGAUGAUUCAGCAAAGUACUUCUGUGCUCUCUGGGAACCCACUGUGCUUGAGAGGACACUAAAAGCCAAACAAAAACCCAGACCUCAAGAAAACCAAGAGCCCUCCUCAGGACCCAAGCUGAAAUCACACCUGCAGGUCCCAGAUAGGCAAUGGCAGUGCCUGUGCUUGCUCCAUACGUGGUCUUUUCAAAGAAUUGGAUUCUGA